ACGUGGUAUCCUGUCUGAAUAUGGGGGGACCAUCCUCCAAGGCUAAAUACUCCUGACUGACCGAUAGUGAACCAGUACCGUGAGGGAAAGGCGAAAAGAACCCCGGCGAGGGGAGUGAAAAAGAACCUGAAACCGUGUACGUACAAGCAGUGGGAGCACCCUUCGGGGUGUGACUGCGUACCUUUUGUAUAAUGGGUCAGCGACUUAUAUUCUGUAGCAAGGUUAACCGAAUAGGGGAGCCGGAGGGAAACCGAGUCUUAAUUGGGCGUUAAGUUGCAGGGUAUAGACCCGAAACCCGGUGAUCUAGCCAUGGGCAGGUUGAAGGUUGGGUAACACUAACUGGAGGACCGAACCGACUAAUGUUGAAAAAUUAGCGGAUGACCUGUGGCUGGGGGUGAAAGGCCAAUCAAACCGGGAGAUAGCUGGUUCUCCCCGAAAGCUAUUUAGGUAGCGCCUCGUGAAUUCAUCUCCGGGGGUAGAGCACUGUUUCGGCUAGGGGGCCAUCCCGGCUUACCAACCCGAUGCAAACUGCGAAUACCGGAGAAUGUUAUCACGGGAGACACACGGCGGGUGCUAACGUCCGUCGUGAAGAGGGAAACAACCCAGACCGCCAGCUAAGGUCCCAAAGUCAUGGUUAAGUGGGAAACGAUGUGGGAAGGCCCAGACAGCCAGGAUGUUGGCUUAGAAGCAGCCAUCAUUUAAAGAAAGCGUAAUAGCUCACUGGUCGAGUCGGCCUGCGCGGAAGAUGUAACGGGGCUAAACCAUGCACCGAAGCUGCGGCAGCGAACGUAUCACCCAAGACAACUUUGCGGAGUUGACGAUUGACGGAGCGAAGCGACGUCAAAGCGUUCAUUAAAGUCGAGUUGGCUUAGGGAUACGUUCGUUGGGUAGGGGAGCGUUCUGUAAGCCUGUGAAGGUGUGCUGUGAGGCAUGCUGGAGGUAUCAGAAGUGCGAAUGCUGACAUAAGUAACGAUAAAGCGGGUGAAAAGCCCGCUCGCCGGAAGACCAAGGGUUCCUGUCCAACGUUAAUCGGGGCAGGGUGAGUCGACCCCUAAGGCGAGGCCGAAAGGCGUAGUCGAUGGGAAACGGGUUAAUAUUCCCGUACUUGGUGUUACUGCGAAGGGGGGACGGAGAAGGCUAUGUUGGCCGGGCGACGGUUGUCCCGGUUUAAGCGUGUAGGUGUGUGUUCCAGGUAAAUCCGGUUCACUUUAAC
rnacentral:rRNA from 1 species